rnacentral:rRNA from 1 species
UUGGAGGGCAAGUCUGGUGCCAGCAGCUGCGGUAAUUCUAGCUCCAAUAGUGUAUAUUAAAGUUGUUGCUGUUAAAAAGCUUGUAGUUGAAUUUCGGGGUUCUACCGUUGGUCGGGCAAUUGUCUGUACUGGCGUGUGGAAUUUCUACCUUCUGGGGAACUAUCAUGUUAUUAAUUUAGCGUGGUAGGAAGCCAGGACCUUUACCUUGAAAAAAUUAGAGUAUUUAAAGCAGGCUUAUGUCUGAAUACAUUAGCAUGGAAUAAUAAAAUAGGACAGUGGUCCUGUUUAUUUUGUUGGUUUCUGAUUUACCGUAAUGAUUAAUAGGGAUAGUUGGCGGCAUUAUUAUUCAAUUGUCAGAGGUGAAAUUCUCGGAUUUAUUGAAGACUAACUUCUGCGAAAGCAUUUGCCAAGGAUGUUUUCAUUAAUCAAGAACGAAAGUUAGGGGAUCAAAGACGAUCAGAUACCGUCGUAGUCUUAACCAUAAACUAUGCCNACUAGGGAUCGGACGAUGUUAAUUUUUCUUGACUCGUUCGGCGCCUUACGGGAAACCAAANUGUUUGGGUUC